GAUGGUUUGAGUUGAAACAGCCAUGAUGGAUGGUUUCAAACUUUUGUUUUGUUUGUUGUUGCGUCACCACUUUUUACUCAAAGGACAAACUUCUCCUGUGGGAUAUAAAACUUACAAGACUGAUGUUCAGCAAGAACUUCUUGGGAGUAAAGAUAACCCACUCCCUAUUCCUUAUCAAGUAAUUAACCAAAAUCCAACACCAGAGGAGGCAAAGUGCAACAUGGCUGUCCUACUGUCUGUAAAUAAUGCAUCUGGCUUAGUUAUUCAA